rnacentral:rRNA from 1 species
UACGGGGGCAGCAGUGGGGAAUCUUGCGCAAUGGGCGAAAGCCUGACGCAGCAACGCCGCGUGGGGGACGAAGGCCUUCUGGGUUGUAAACUCCUUUCAGCAGGGACGAUUGUGACGGUACCUGCAGAAGAAGCCCCGGCCAACUACGUGCCAGCAGCCGCGGUAA